GUUUGAUCAUGGCUCAGGAUGAACGCUAGCGGCAGGCCUAACACAUGCAAGUCGAGGGGUAUAGUAGCAAUACUAGAGACCGGCGCACGGGUGCGUAACGCGUAUGCAAUCUACCUUUUACAGGGGAAUAGCCCAGAGAAAUUUGGAUUAAUGCCCCAUGGUAUAUAUGAAUCGCAUGGUUUAUAUAUUAAAGUUCCAACGGUAAAAGAUGAGCAUGCGUCCCAUUAGUUAGUUGGUAAGGUAACGGCUUACCAAGACGAUGAUGGGUAGGGGUCCUGAGAGGGAGAUCCCCCACACUGGUACUGAGACACGGACCAGACUCCUACGGGAGGCAGCAGUGAGGAAUACUGGACAAUGGGCGCAAGCCUGAUCCAGCCAUGCCGCGUGCAGGAAGACGGUCCUAUGGAUUGUAAACUGCUUUUGUACGGGAAGAAACACUCCGACGUGUCGGAGCUUGACGGUACCGUAAGAAUAAGGAUCGGCUAACUCCGUGCCAGCAGCCGCGGUAAUAC
rnacentral:rRNA from 1 species